GGUAGUCCUAGCCCUAAACGAUGCUCAUUAGAUGUGGGAGGUAUCGACCCCUUCCGCGUCGCAGCUAACGCAUUAAAUGAGCCGCCUGGGGAGUACGGCCGCAAGGUUGAAACUCAAAGGAAUUGACGGGGGCCCGCACAAGCGGUGGAACAUGUGGUUUAAUUCGACGCAACGCGAAGAACCUUACCCGGGCUUGAACUACAGAUGGUAAGUCCCUAGAAACAGGGGGCUGACCCGCAAGGGAGUCUGCAGAGGUGCUGCAUGGUUGUCGUCAGCUCGUGUCGUGAGAUGUUGGGUUAAG
rnacentral:rRNA from 1 species